rnacentral:lncRNA from 1 species
UUUUUUACAGUUGCCAAUUUUUGUAUGUGCUGUAUAGAUUGUGUUGAAAUGCUGCAUUGUUGUAAAGUUAUUCAUCAUGGCCUUGCUUCAUUUUUAUUUUGCUGAGGUAAAAAAACUUAUGUUUGGGGGGCAUCCAGAUCAAAGAUAAAAUGCUUGUUCUUUUGAGUGGCAAAUUCUUGAGACCAAUAAAAACCGAGUAGUUUGAGAAAACAAUGACUCUUGGCAUUCCAUCAACUCACAUUGCUCAAAUUGCAUUUUAUUUGAAGCUGCCUGCUUCACUAUGACUGUUGACAUUCCCUUUCGUCAUUUUUUAUUUUUUGGUGCUACGAGUUGUUUAACAAUGUAAGCUAGGCAGUAAACACCGGUUUUGGAGGCGCGUGACCUUCCUUAAGGGUUUUGACCACGCGCUUCCUUGGAUAUUUCUAUUAUCCAGAUGAGCUCGGCUACUAGGCUAUGUCUGAAUGAGAUUAUGAGCUCGUUAGCUGAGCCUUUUCCAUAUUGGCAAGUUGUGGACUCUUAUUGGGUUUUGCAUGUUGGAUUUGGCUCCGAUUUGAUGAAUUAUUUUUUCUUAUUUGGUGAAUGUAUUUUAUCUAUAAAGUAGUAAGUAAAUAGCUAUUCCUGGAAUAAUAAAGGAAUGUCGAAGUUGAUUCGGCUUUUUAUGGUGAAAAGAAAAAAGAUCAAUCCUUCUGUAUUUUGGAAUGCUAGAUAUAGGUACGGUGCUCGUAUUGUUUUCUUCACUUGAGUUAACUGCCCCACAUCAUUCCUGCUUCUUUAUUUUAUUUUCCCCAAAGAAGUUUAAAUAUGGGCUACGGUGCUCAUCAAAUGCAAUAGAUUUUGGAAAUUUAAACAAAGGUAUUUUCUGAUAUUACUAGAGGGCUACGGUGCUUGUGCUGGAGUUUUUACUGCCCCACCUAUCAAAUUGCGGUGGUCAUAUGCAAAGAAAAAUCACUAAAAAGAGUAUCAUCAAUAUUCCAAGAAAGACGGUCCUUCCAAAAUCAUCGAGUUAAUGGACCACAUACCGAUACUGACAUUAAUUGUGUUUUCUUAUGGAAUCACACUAUUGCCGCUCCCAACACGGCAAAGUGACUCAGGUGGUGAUUUUGUUGUGGUAGCUGGAGGUGGAGGAGUGAGGGAGGUUGGUGUGAUGGAUAUGGAGUUAUCAGUACUACUAGUUGUGCUCUCAUCUACGCAGCUUCCAUCCAUUUCUUUUUUGUUGUUGUUGUUGUUGUGAAGAGAGAGGAGCAAGCGAGACAGAGACAGAGAGGGAUGAGGUGUUUUUGUUGACUAGAACUAGAGGUAUGAUUUGAGAAUAUAUAUAGAUAGAGGGUAGAGGUGUUGGGUAAAGUUUUGGGCUUUUAAUUUUAAUUUUUGAUUUUAUGAGUUAAAUUAAGAAAUACGGGGUGGGGUGCACUGUGUAGUCUUGGGAAGAUUCAUGGAGUUAGGGUCGUAGUAUGUGUGUGUGUGUGUGGAGGGUUGUGUAUGUAGGUAGGGUGGGGCCUCCUUCUUAUUACCAUAGGCAUGCUGGAUAUUUUUCCAGGACAUUAAACCAAAACACUGUCAGUCUCGACUCAACUACUUCAAGGAAAGUUUGCCAAUUGCGUGUCUUGGAAGCAACCGGAUUAUCUACUCUAUGAAACAAAGGGCCUACAAGACGGGAAUGAGUCCAUGAAAAAGCCAUGCACUUAAUUCUUUCAUAAAUUUCGCAGGCAAGCAUUAGACGCAAACAUCGCCUACAAGACGCGAGCAAUUAUUUUCUACACGGUCUCUUUCCAUGAAAGGAUGGAUUGACUGCCUGGCCUUCUUAGUUUUCAAAUGCCACUGUUCGUGAUAAAAAAUAGAAUGCCUGUUCUUUAGGGUGACAGAUUGUUGAGACCAAUAAAAACAAACUGAGAAGUACGAGAAACCAAUGGUGGUGAAAUUUCAUGUUCUAUUUUUCACCCAUCAACUCACAUUGUUCAAGUUCCAUUUUAUUUGACGCUGCUUCACCAUGACAGUUGGCAUUGCAUUUCUUCAGUUCUUAAUUUUUGGUGCUAUGAAUUGCUUAACAGUGUAAGCUAGACAAUAAACACCGGUUUUGGACUUUCUCUACACCACAACUAUAUCAAUCUUUCAAGAUUACAGGUUCGAUCCCUUCAGAAAUUGGGAAUUCGAAGAAUUUGUAUGGACUUUCUCUACAUCACUGGUUCGAUUCCUUUUUCAUUAGACAAUUUAAGAAACUUGGCAUUUCUAUAUCUCUCUUAUAACCAAAUCAACGGAUCCAUCCCUUUGAAAAUAUGGAACUUGGCAAAUUUGAAAGCAUUAGAUCUCAGUUCAAACAAUAUCAGUGGUUCCAUUCAUAUCACAGUAGGCAGUUUAACUCAAGGUUCUCAAUUCCGUUCCGGUUUACAUUUUGUUUUUUCAAUUGAAAUGACAUGUUUCGCUUUCAAAGCAUUUCAACAUGCCGUUUCGGGAUUGUACUGUUUAUAUGUGUGUAUAAUUCAAAAUAUUAAUUCAACAAACAUAAUUUCAAUUCAAAUUGAAAGAUAAACUAACUUGAAAUUAUGCUUUUCAAAUUUUAAACACAAGUAAAAAAAAAGGGAGUUGAAUCAAUAUGACUCGAUCAACUAAAUGGGUUUGAAGAUAGUCUGAACGAUUGGUAAAAAUAUAGUUUGACUAAAACAAAUUCAAGAUUACAUAUUUUUUCUUAAAAAAUAUUAAGACGAGAAUAUAUUGGAUCGAUUCAGGUUAACCUUUCAAAUUCGUGACCUCGAUAAUGAGACCAUGAUAACCCUAAAUAAAACAAACCAAAAUAAGUUAUGAAUCUCAAUUACAAGUAAACCCAUUAUUGAAUGAUGAAAGUAGUAAAAAUUCAAUCUAAAAAAAAACAAUAAAAUAACCUUUUUGAACAAAAUUACAAAUUUGAAUAAAAUUAUAAAAAUAUCAUCAGCAGUCUUGCAAGACCUUUUUAAACUCUCAUUACCCUAAAAGUUUAACCUGAGAUUAAAUAAUAUGCAAAGAGAUUCCUCGUAAAAUUUUAACCCGAUUCAUCAGUCGGAUUAAAAGAUGCAAUUGAUACCGUAAAAUUAGAGAGUUUUUUUUUAAAAAAAAAGCAAAAAAAAAAAAAACACUAUUUGGCCGGAAUGGAACCGGAAUGUUCCAGCCAAAACGAAACCAGAACAUUCCGGCUGAGAUUUCCAAAACAGGCCGAGAUUCUGAUUGAGAUGAAAUUUAUUUCGGUUUAUUUUGUUUUUUAAGCUGGAACAAGAAUACUAGUCAUUCCGGACAGAACAAAAUGGAAUUAACAACCUUGGUAUAACCAUUUUGAGAUAUCUAAACCCCUAUUCCAAUCAAAUCAACGGAUCCAUCCCUUUGGAAAUAUGGAACUUGACAAAUUUGGAAGCCAUAGAUCCCGAUUCAAACAAUAUCAGCGGUUCCAUUCAUUCCAGAGUAGGCAGUUUAACCAGUUUGAGAUAUCUUGACCUGUCUUCCAAUCAAAUCAACGGAUCCAUCNNNNNNNNNNNNNNNNNNNNNNNNNNNNNNNNNNNNNNNNNNNNNNNNNNNNNNNNNNNNNNNNNNNNNNNNNNNNNNNNNNNNNNNNNNNNNNNNNNNNUCAUCGAGACAUAUCAAACAAUAUUGUUCUGUUGAUUCAGAAUCCAAGUCUUUUGUUGCUGAUCUUGGUGUGGCUAGACUUCUCGAUCCUGAUUCGUCGAAGCAUACCGUACUUGCUGGUACCUAUGGAUACAUUGCCCCACUUAAAACUAUUUCUUCUCAAUAGACAUUGAUGGGAAGGCAUCCGGGAAAUUCCUAUCAUCAUAUGCUCAGGUUAUUACACUAAAAGAAGUGUUAGAUCCUCGUUUGUCACCUCUAACACAAAAAAUUGUCAUACAAAAUAUAUGUAUCAUUGCAACUCUGGCAUUUUCUUGCUUACUUUCGAAUCCAAAAUCUUGACCUUCAAUGAAAUUCAUGUCUCAAGAAUUUUAUCUCGUAAGAGAUCAUUGUGGCAGGUCUUGAGAUUUCUUUGCUGAAGCUGCGAAAUCUUAGCAUGCACAUAAAUGUAGGAGAGAUCAUGGUUCCUUGCUGAAAAUAUCAACUUUGAUCUCAUAUUGAACUGAGCAAGAGCCUCGAAGAGCAUGCAUGUUUGAUAAUGUUUUCACUAUUUCCACUUCAUCUACAAGACGUGGGCAAUUCGGAUUGACUAAGAAUCAAAUCCACAAAUUAAUGGCACGUACGAUGAUCAGAAUACCACUAUGUAUUAGCAUUAUUUUUCUACUCGGUCUCUUUCCAUGAAAAUCAGGGAGAAUACAAUUAACUGAUUGGCCUUCUUAAUUUCCAAAAUCCACUAUUGGUGAUUUGUAAGCCUUUUUCUUAAUCACAACGCGUGAAAGACCAGUGAAAGACCAGAGGAACUUGACUUGGAAUGAGUUCAUGAAAAAACCAUGCACUUCAUUCAUAAACUUAGCAUUAUCAUAGCAUUAGACACAAACAUGGCAUCCAUUGAUUAUGAGCCAAAACUUCUUGCAAUUUUAAGCAUCUCAAUUUUCUUGUCCUGUAUUUUUGUAUCUGUGGCUGCACUUGACUCAGCCUUGCUAGCAUCAGAAGGAAAGGCUUUGGUUGAGAGUGGAUGGUGGAGUGUCAACAGAAACCUCAUCUCAUUUCGUUGCAUGUGGCUUGGCAUAGUUUGUGAUCGGGCUGGAAACAAAUCCCAAGCAGCUAUUGAGUCUUUUUAUACCAGCGCGGGAUUUCAAAUUCUUGCAAGAAUCGUACACGAUUGGAUGGUAAUAUCACUAACGAUCCAUUUUUUAUUUUCCUAUAAUUAUUUUUAAAGUUGUUUUUUAUUUAAAAAUAUAUUUAAAUAAUAUAUAUAUAUAUAUAUAUAUAUUUUAAAAAAUUUAUUUUUAACAUCAAUAUAUAAAAAAAAUCUAAAAUAAUUUAAAACAAUAAAAUAAAAUAAAAUAAUUAUUUUUUUAAAUACUUUUAAAAUCCAAAAAUAAACAACAACCUGACUCUAAAAUUACCAGAAUCCACAAACAUUGUAAUAUUAUUAAUUUUAAUUUUAAUUUAUACUAUUUUUUUGUUCUUAUCUUUAUUCUUUUGUAAUUUAUUUUCUUAAAAAAAUAUUAUAUAAAGACUAAAAAAUGAUAUUUCAAUAUAGCAAUUGCAACAUUGUUCUAUUUUUAUAUUACAUUAAAAAUAAGCUUGAGAUUUUACAUUUCUUUACUAACACAUAUAAUCUUCAUUAUGUUUUAUUAUAUGUAAGCUUUAACUUUUUAUUUCAAAAUUAUAUUUUUUACUCGCCAUCAAAAAACACGUUAAUAACAUUCACACAUUAAUUCAUUUACGUUAGAAAAAAACAAUAAUCAACUUGCAGCUAGGCAAAUAGAAUAGACACGUUAAUAUUUUUUUUUCAUUUAUCAGCAGAGAUAAUUCUCGAUUUAUUUAAUUAAAUGCAUGUAUAUGUCUUUUGAUUUACAAUUAGAUUUCUUUUUGUACAAAAACACAUUUGAAAAGCUUGCAUAUGUUUUUUCUUCCAAAGAAAUUAUCUGACCCGCAGAGAAGUGCAUGUCAAAUAACUAGUAUUAUAAACUAAAAGAGGUGAUGAUUUUAUUGUAUAUCACCUUACAAAACACUAUUCAUUUUAAUAGUGUUUUUUUUUUUUCAAAUCUAUGUUUCUCCCCAAUUUCAUACUUCAACAUUUAAUUUAUUGGAGCUUGGGGUUCAUAAUUUAUUAUGUUUGCUUUAUACGAGGUUAGCCUAGUCUCAUAAUCUAUGUCAUCCUUCAACAUUGUUCAUUUGAGUUUUUUUUAAUAGAUAUGUUUUUUCAAUCUCAUCCUUCAACAUUGUGUUGAUUGAGAAUUAUGCUUAAUGAUUUAUUUUAGUUUAUUUUUUAUGAGGUUAUCACGAUUUCAUGACUCGAGUUACGAGUUUGGUGGGUUAACCCAUUUGACUCGAGUUUUUUUUCAUGUUUUUUUUAAUUGAUAUUUUUAUAAUUUUAUCUUUCAGCAUUGAAUUGAUUAUGAAUUAGACUUCAUGAUUUAUUUUAGCUUGUUUUCUAUGAGCUUAUCUCGAUCUUAUGACUUGGGUCACGUGUUUUGCAGGUUAACCCGUGUAGACUAAGGUUGUUUUAUUGUGUCCUGUUUUUAGAUUGAAUUUUUUUUCUUCAAUUUCAACCUUCAACAAUAGGUUUAUUGAAUAUUGAGCUUUAUAAUUUGUUUUGAUUUGCUUCUAUGACUCAUGUUAUUUUUUUGUUUACUUUCUAUAAGGUUAUUUUGAUUUCUUGACCCGGAUCACGAGUUUGACAAUUUAACUCGGGUUAUUUUUUUUUGUCAUUUUUUAUUUUUUUUUCAAUUUUAUUCUUUAGCAUUUGAUUGAUUUGGAAUAAGGCUUCAUAUUUUUGUUUUGGUCUUGCUUUUUAUAAAGUUAUCCCGGUCUCAUUACCAGGGUCAUAGUUUGAUGAGUUAACCCGAGUUGACUUAGGUCUUUUUUGUUUUUAUUUUUUUAAUUUUAUCCCUAAAAAUUGAGAUUUCUUAUCUCGAGUCGUAGGUCAACUCAGGUUUGUUUGUCAUUUGUUUAGUUUAAUUUUUUUUUCCUUAAUUUAUCCUUCAAUAUUGGGUUGAUUUGAGAUUAAGCUUCAUAUUUGUUUUUACUUUCUAUGAGGUUAUCUCGAUCUUAUUACAUAGGUUACGAGUCUGACUGGUUAACUUGAGUUGACUCAAUCUUUUUAAUUGUUUUUUUUUUCAAUUUCAUCCUUCAACAUUGGAUUGAUCGAAAAUUGAACUUCAUAAUUUGUUUUGAUUUGUUUUAUAUAGAGUUAUCUCAGUCAUAUGACACGAGUUGUAGUUUUGACAGGUUAACACAAGUUGACUUUAGUUGUUUGUUUUUUGGUCUCUUUUUUUAUUGAUUUUUUUUUAAUUUUAUCUUUUAACAUUGAUUUAAUUGGGAAUUGAGUUUUAUAUUUGGUUUUGAUUUGCUUUCUAUGUGGUUGUUCCGGUCUUAUGAUUCGGAUUGAGAAUUUGACAAGUUGACCCGAGUUGAUCCAAAAUAUUUUCAACUCAAUAUUUUUUUUAAAACUUGCCAUCUUAAAUUUUUUUAGUAAAACAAUAUUUUUAACAGUUUUUCAGGUUGUCUUUGGAUCUGUUAAGUUAACCGGGUCAUAUCAAGUUAACCCUUACAUGUUUUAAUUUUUUUCAACUAGAAAACACGUUAAUAACACCUAGAUAUUUUUUGCAUUAAAAAAAUUAAUCUGACGUGCAACAUAGUGCGGACAAUGAUCUAGUCUACUCUAUUUAUGAAAGUAAGGGUCCAAGGGGUUGUUUGAGAGUGUGGUAGUGAUUAUUUUUCAAAGUGUGUUUUGCUCAGAAAUGCAUUAAAAUAAUUUUUUUAUAUUUUUUAAAAAUUAUUUUUGAUACCAACACAUUAAAAUGAUCUAAACACAAAAAAAAAAUAUUAAUUUGAAAAAAAGAAAAAAAUUGCAAAAUUAUUUUAAAAAUACUUUUGAUAGGCAAAAAAAAAAAAAAAGAGACCUUAAAAGAGAUGGAAUAAGGAUAGACUAAGAAUGAAAUCCACAAAUUAAUGACAAGAGGAUCAUAAAACAUGUAUUUGGAUUAUUUUCUGCUCGAUCUCUUUCCAUGAAAGUCAGGGAGAAUAGAUUAACUGACUGCCCUUCUUAAUUUCCAAAUGAUACUAUUGGUGAUUGGUGAACCUUUUUCUCCUUUGCCUUAGUUAUUGGAAUUGAUAGAAUUAAAAGUCCUGCAGUGAACGCAUGGACCCAUGGAUCAUCUGUGGUUUCAAAAGACAGAAAGAAAAGUACACAUGAAACACAGACGAUCUUGACUUGGAACGAGUCCAUGAAAAAGCCAUGCACUUCAUUCAUAAACUUAGCAUUAUCAUUGAAGGCAAGCAUUACACGCAAACAUGGCAUCCAUUGAUUAUGAGCCAAAACUUCUUGCAAUUUUAAGCACCUCAAUUUUCUUGUCCAGUAUUUUUGUAUCUAGUACUGGUCUUGUGGCUGCACUUGAUGACUCGGCCUUGCUAGCAUCAGAAGGCAAGGCUUUGGUUGAGAGUGGAUGGUGGAGUGACUACAGCAACCUCACCUCACAUCGUUGCAACUGGACUGGCAUAGUUUGUGAUGGGGCUGGAAGCAUCACUAAGAUUUCCCCACCUCCAGAGUUCCUCAAGGUGGGAAAUAAGUUUGGAAAGAUGAACUUUUCUUGCUUCUCAAACCUUGUCCGUCUCCACCUGGCCAACCAUGAGCUCAGUGGGAGCAUCCCGCCUCAAAUUUCUAUCCUUCCACAACUCAGAUACCUCAACCUGUCCUCAAAUAAUCUAGCAGGUGAGUUACCGUCUUCACUUGGAAAUCUCAGCCGAUUAGUUGAGCUUGAUUUUUCUUCCAAUAAUUUAACCAAUUCCAUCCCUCCAGAACUAGGCAAUCUUAAAAAUCUUGUUACUUUGAGCUUGUCUGAUAACAUCUUCAGCGGCCCAAUCCCUUCGGCACUUUGUCAUUUGGAAAAUCUAAGGCAUUUAUUUAUGGAUCAUAAUAGUCUCGAAGGUGCCCUCCCUAGAGAAAUAGGGAACAUGAAAAAUCUAGAGAUUUUGGACGUGAGUUAUAAUACACUUAAUGGUCCAAUCCCUCGAACAAUGGGUAGUUUAGCCAAGUUGAGGUCUUUGAUCCUUUCUCGCAACGCAAUCGAUGGAUCCAUUCCUUUGGAAAUAGGAAAUUUGACGAACCUUGAAGAUUUAAAUCUUUGCUCUAAUAUCCUAGUUGGUUCAAUUCCUUCAACGAUGGGUCUUUUACCCAACUUGAUUUCUCUAUUUCUUUGUGAGAACCAUAUCCAAGGAUCCAUUCCUUUGAAAAUAGGAAAUUUGACGAAUCUAGAAUAUUUAGUUCUUGGCUCUAAUAUCCUAGGUGGUUCAAUUCCUUCAACUUCGGGCUUUUUAUCCAAUUUGAUUUUUGUAGAUAUUUCCAGUAACCAAAUCAAUGGACCCAUCCCCUUAGAAAUAGGAAAUUUGACGAAACUACAAUAUUUAAAUCUUGAUGACAACAAGAUCACUGGUUUGAUUCCUUUUUCAUUAGGCAAUUUAAGAAACUUGACAACUCUAUAUCUCUCUCACAACCAAAUCAACGGAUCCAUCCCUUUAGAAAUACAGAACUUGACAAAGUUGGAAGAAUUAUAUCUGUAUUCAAACAAUAUCAGUGGCUCGAUUCCUACUACAAUGGGCCGUUUAACCAGUUUGAGAUUUCUAUCCCUCUAUGACAACCAAAUCAACGGAUCCAUCCCUUUGGAAAUACAGAACUUGACAAAGUUGGAAGAAUUAUAUCUGUAUUCAAACAAUAUCAGUGGCUCGAUUCCUACUAUAAUGGGCAGUUUAAGAAAACUAAACCUUUCUCGAAACCAAAUGAAUGGACCCAUCUCUUCAUCUUUGAACAAUUGUAAUAAUUUGACCUUGCUAGAUUUGAGCGGCAAUAAUUUAAGUGAAGAGAUACCCUACAAUCUAUAUAAUUUGACCUCUUUACAAAAAGCGAAUUUUAGUUACAAUAAUCUCUCAGGCCCUGUUCCCUUGAAUUUGCAACCACCCUUUGAUUUUUAUUUCACAUGUGAUUUACUUCUUCAUGGGCAUAUUACCAACGAUUCUGCAACUUUUAAAGCUACUGCAUUUGAGGGCAACAGAUAUUUACACCCUGAUUUCUCAAACUGUUCGUUACCUUCAAAAACCAACAGAAUGAUUCAUUCCAUCAAGAUAUUACUUCCUAUCACUGCCAUUUCACUUUGUCUCUUGUGUCUCGGAUGUUUUUAUCUAUCUCGAUGCAAGGCUACCCAACCUGAGCCAACAUCAUUAAAGAAUGGAGACUUGUUUUCCAUAUGGAAUUAUGAUGGGAGGAUUGCAUACGAAGACAUCAUUGCAGCGACCGAGAACUUUGACCUCAGAUAUUGUAUCGGAACCGGUGGUUAUGGGAAUGUCUACCGAGCACAACUUCCAAGUGGGAAAUUAGUUGCCUUGAAGAAACUUCAUCGUCGAGAGGCAGAGGAGCCGGCUUUUGACAAGAGUUUAAAAAAUGAGGUGGAACUGCUCACACAAAUACGUCACAGGAGCAUUGUAAAGCUUUAUGGAUUCUGUUUACACCAGCGCUGCAUGUUUCUUGUUUACGAGUACAUGGAAAAGGGAAGCUUGUUUUGUGCCUUGAGAAAUGAUGUUGGAGCCGUGGAACUGAAGUGGAUGAAAAGAGCACACAUCAUCAAAGACAUUGCUCACGCAUUAUCUUACUUGCAUCAUGAUUGCAACCCACCAAUUGUUCAUCGAGACAUAUCAAGCAGCAAUGUUCUGUUGAAUUCAGUAUCCAAGUCUUUUGUUGCUGAUUUUGGCGUGGCUAGACUUCUCGAUCCAGAUUCGUCCAACCAUACUGUACUUGCUGGUACCUAUGGAUACAUUGCCCCAGGUCAAAUAUUUCUUCUUUAUAUACGUGUAUCACUCAUGUCAUGCACACCAACAUUAAAGCAAACUCUCUCUUAUAUAUAUUUUUUUAAUUUCAUUUUGUUUAUGGACAGAGCUGGCUUAUACUAUGGUGGUGACAGAGAAAUGUGAUGUCUAUAGCUUUGGAGCAGUGGCGCUAGAAACGUUGAUGGGAAGGCAUCCAGGAGAUAUCCUAUCAUCAUCUGCUCGGGCUAUUACACUGAAAGAAGUGUUAGAUCCUCGUUUGUCACCUCCGACAGAUGAAAUUGUCAUACAGAAUAUAUGUAUUAUUGCAACUCUGGCAUUCUCUUGCUUACAUUCGAAUCCAAAAUCUCGACCUUCAAUGAAAUUCGUGUCUCAAGAAUUUCUAUCUCCCAAGAGAUCACUGGCAGGUCUUGAGAUUUCUUUGCUGGAGCUGCGAACUCUUGGCAUGCACGCAAAUGGAGGUGAUAUCACAGUUCCUAGUUGAAAAUGUGAACUUUGAGCUCACAUUGAAGUUUAUAAUAUUUCUUAAUUUUGGAAGAACUUCUUUCUUUUAGUACAUUAAAUGUCUUUAUAAUAUUUUAGGGUGACAUUGUAUGUAAUUUUAACAAUGCACACUUUUCUCGUGUACUGUAAAAUCAAUUAGAGCAUCACUGUCUAGGUUAAAUUGAAAUCAUCACUCAUCUUACAAUUAGGCAAAUCCCCACUUGAAAUAUGCAGAAGAUAUUUGUUAACUCCAUUUGUGCCUGCAAGCUCUUGUAUAUUGGAUGCCUGAAAGCAGUGUUUGGAGAUUGAUUUUUUUUCUGACUGAUGUGCUUUGGUAUUGAUCAUUUGGCACAGAUGGGAUUUUCAAUCAUCUUCCAAAGGAAUACCACUUCAAGAUUUAUGUCUCAUGUUUGGAACCGAAAGAAGUUAAAAGAGAGAGUUUUUGUUGUCUCAGAGACAUUUACUAACAGAAAAAAUGAUUUCUUCGUAUCAGCCUCUGGUUUAUAAAUAAAAGAAUGGAACCAGGUUUUUAAGUUGAAAUUCUUUACCAUGAUACCACAUUGAUCAUCCUUAUUCCCCUUCAUGAUAUCUUUAAAUGAGAAAAAGCUUGGAGUGCGCAACUGUCCUGAUGAAGGGCAAUCCUCAGUGUUGCACGUCCCCGCACGGUGAUUUGGUGAUUUUUCACGGUGAUUCGGCAAUUUUUCAUUAUGUUUCCUUGAUUGGUUAUUUAAGAGUCGCCAUCUAGUAUUUGAUUAAAAACUACUAGAAAACCUGAAUAUACUGAUCUUUGUCAGAAAUUUAAAGAUAAGAAACUAAUUAUGACUAAAAAAUAUAUUAGCACCCCUAACACACCCUACCUGAGAUAAGCUGCUUUGUAAUUUGAUGUUCCUUAAGAUAUUUAAUCAUAUUCAAAUUAAACACUUAGUUUUUUUUAUCUUUUUUAUUUUUACAAUUUAAUAACAUAAAUAAAAUACAAACACACACCAACAUUCCUUUUUUACUAUCCUCAACUCACACAUCACUUUUACAUAUUACAAAAUAUCAAAACAAAUCAAAUACUAUAAUCUAAAUAUACACAGCAACAUUUGAAAAUUACAAAAAGCUUCGGGAACGGUGCUGGAGCACUCUGGGCAUCUUCUGUGAUUGUGUACAGUGGCGGCGCGUCUCCUCCACGCGCCGCCGCGAAAUCCGGGCGGCAGCGGAGAUCCAUAAUGGCUUCCUCCCUUCUUCCUUUCUUCGCCGGCGAUGGGCACCACCGUUACCUGCAAAACAACCAAACGCAGCAAGCAAGUCUGUUGUAGCUUUUUCUUUGUUUUCAGUCCGGCUUUUCUUCCUUCCGAUCUGCCAAAUCUGGAGACGGGCGUUGCACGCGCCGCCAGCAGACCAGGCGUGUGGAUGGCUGGAUCGGCAACUUCCCUCCUCCCAUUUCAUUUCUGCAACGGCGGUGUUGUCCACCGCUGUCAUGGUCGUGAGAUCGGCGCCCAUCCAGGUUUCGGUUCUCUGCCCCUUCUUUACUGCCCUUCGGCCUUCCUUCUCAUUUCCUCAUCGUCUCUGGAGAAGGGAUGCUGCCGCUGGCCGAUUGAUGGUGGUUAGCCGAGAGAGGGUCUGAAAGUCUGUUGAUGAGGGAAUAGAUGGUAUUCUCGGCUGGAGGUUUCAGUCGGCUGAGAGGGGGUAAAGUGAGGGGGACGGCCGGCUGGCUUGUUUUUGACAGAGGGCCAGGGGGCCACGGCCGGCCUCUGGUUCUGGGAGCGCCGAGAGAGGGAGGCCGUGGAGGCCGGUGUGCAGGGGAGGUUAGUCUGUGGGCGGCUGAAGAGGGAAGACAAAAUGGCCAAGGGGAGAAGGUGGCCGAGAGGGACAGGGGAGGCUUGCGGCUGUUUUCGUGCUCCCUGAUGCUCUUUUAGCCAAGGGAAGGGCCAAGCUCUGGCUGGUUUCGGGAGAAGGAAAAUGAGGAGAGGCAGGGGGUUUUGCCGUGGCUUUGGUUCUCUUUGUUUUUAGCCAAGGGAGGGGGCAGCCUUGUGAGGGAGAAGAAGAUGGGGAGUGGGUGGUCGCCUGCUUGGAGAGGGAGAGUGGCGGCUCAAACAGGGAAAGAGAGCUUCUCUGUAGGGAAAUGGGGAGCCGACUACAAUAGCAGAGAGGGGUUCUGGUUUCUCCAAGGGAGGGGCGGCCGAGAGCUGGAAUCAGUUUAGGUUUAGGGUUUUUUAGUUUUUGUUCCCCAAAAUUGUCUCCGCCUCCAUGCCUGUAAAAUUUUUCUCUCCUCUCCCCCUUUUUUUUUCACUGUAGCAUGUUAUUUAUAAAAGAAGUUUUGCUAGGUCUUCAAACUAAUCCCUCAACUUUUCAUUUCCUUUUUUUUUUUGUAAAUUUUAAUUUUUUUAAUUUUUUUUAUUUUUAAAAGCAAGCAAUAUCAACAUCAACUCAACAAGAAAAAUCAAUGAUCAUAAAAUUUACACGUUAAAAGUUGAACGCGUUCCAAAUAGCUUUGAAAAUUUAAAUUUUUUUGAGAUAACGUUGAAAAUGCUAAAAACGAUGCAAAUAUAUUAAAAAUAUAUUUUUUAGUAUUUUUUUACUAUUUUUUGGUUUUUUCUGUAAAUUUAUUAAAAAUUGGAUAGCAACACUCAGGACCAACAUCUGUCAUCUCUUUCUGAGGGCAAAGCCCAACCCCAAAACUUGCUUGCCGGAGCACACAACAUCAGGCUCUUAUUAUCAUAUGCUUCACCACUGCACCACCCCUCCGAGCCGUGAAACAACCUCAUUUUCGAAACCUUUCCUCGGUAAAUUAACAUGCUCACAAGUAACCUGAUUAAAGAUCACAGUAGGAUUAAAAGGGACGAAUCACCGAAACAUAAAAAACCAUCACUGAAAUUAAGAACAAUGAGAUUACUACUAGUAAGUCUAAGUUAUUGCUGGAAUGGAGAAUGGGGCGAUAGUAAUCAAACAUUACAAGGUGUUCAUGGACAUGAUAACUAGAAUUGAGUUAAAUUUAUGUUUUAAUACAUAAAAACGUACUUAAUAAUUUUUAUUUUUAAAAUAAUGAUAUAAUAAUCAAAAGCAAAGCAAUGGUAAAUGGCUAGUUCAGAAAAAGCUUGACGGAGCUGAACAAGAUUGAAAAGAAAACAAUAGUUUUUUUUUUUUUUAAAAAAAAAGGUUUGAGAUACUCCAGAGCUAAUUUAUCACAUGAAGACAAAAUAAUUCUCAAUAAUAAUCAAAUAAAUUACAAGAAAAAUAAAUGUUUUCUAGGCCUAAUACAACUUAAUUGUUUAUACUACUAGUUAUAAAAAUAAAUUACAACUUGUUUAAAUAAGUAUUCAACUUAUUUUUACUGAAAAUAAAAAUUCUAAAAUAACCAGAAAAAAUAAAGAAAAAAAAUCCAAAUACAUGUAGAAAAAUUAAGAAAAUAAUGUUGUCUAGGCCUAAUAUGAAAGCCUUCUUGACCUUAACUUGUUACAGUAGCAACCCAUUAAUUAUAAAACAAGGCAUUUAGAAUAUACCGGUAAAAUUCAAAUAAUAUCUAACGACAAGAGCUUAUUUUCGUUAAAAAAUAUUAUUUGGAGCAUCAGAUAUUUUUCUUGAACUUCGAUAGGUCCAUAUAGUCAAUAAAUCGUAUAUGCUAAAUGUUUUAAAUAUAUAGUCUAAUUAUAACAAAUGAUUAUAUGACAGUUCAUAUUCACCUGCAUGAAAGCUCUAUAUAUAUACCCAUUAUCUUGGUGACAAUUGACAAGUCUCAUAAUCUAUGUUGCGAGUUUGGUGGGUUAACUUGAUUGAGUUGAGUAUUUUUUUUUAAUUGAUAUUUUUUUCUAAUCUCAUCCUUCAACAUUGAGUUGAUUGACAAUUAUACUCAUGAUUUAUUUUGGUUUGUUUUUUAUGAGGUUAUCUUGAUUUCAUGAUUCGAGUCGCGAAUUUGACGGGUUAACUCAGUUGACUCGAGUUUUUUUUUUUAAUUUUUUUAAUUGGUGUUUUUUCAAUUUUAUCUUUCAGCAUUGAGUUGAUUAUGAAUUAGACUUAAUAAUUUAUUUUUGUUUAUUUUCUAUGAGAUUAUCCCGAUCUUAUGACUUGGAUCACAUGUUUUGCAAGUUAACUCGUGUAGACUGAGGUUGUUUUAUUGUAUCUUGUUUUUAGGUUGAUUUUUUUUUCUUUAAUUUCAACCUUCAACAAUGAGUUUAUUGAAAAUUGAGCUUUAUAAUUUUUUUUAUUUACUUUCUAUGACUUAGGUUAUUUUUUUAUUUACUUUUUAUAAGGUUAUCCUGAUUUCUUGAUCCGGAUCAUGAGUUUGACAGUUUAACUUAGAUCAAUUUUUUUUGUUAUUUUUUAUUUUUUUUUCAAUUUUAUCCUUCAACAUUUGGUUAAUUUGGAAUCAGGCUUCAAAGUUUUUUUGGUCUUGCUUUCUAUAAAGUUAUCCUAGCCUCUUUACCAGGGUCACAAUUUGGCUAGUUAACCUGGGUUGACUCAUGUUUUUUUUUUUUAAUUUCAUCCCUAAACAUUGAGAUUUUUUAUCUCGAGUCGUAUAGGUCAACUUAGGUUUGUUUGUUAUUUUUUUAGUUUAAUUAUUUUUUUUCAAUUUUAUCCUUUAACAUUUGGUUGAUUUGGGAUUAAGCUUCAUAUUUGUUUUUGCUUUCUACGAGGUUAUUUGGUCUUAUUAUAUAGGUCACGAGUUUGGUUGGUGAACUUGAAAUGAUUCAGUUUUUUUUAAUUGAUUUUUUUCAAUUUCAUCCUUCAACAUUGGAUUAAUUGAGAAUUAAACUUUAUAACUUAUUUUGAUUUGUUUUAUAUUGAGUUAUUUCAGUCAUAUGACCCGGGUUGUAGCUUUGACAGGUUAACCUGAGUUGUUUGUUUUUUGGUCUCUUUUUUUAAUUGAUUUUUUUUUUAAUUUCAUCUUUUAACAUUGGUUUAAUUGAGAAUUGAGUUUUAUAUUUGAUUUUGAUUUACUUUCUAUAUGAUUAUUCUGGUCUUAUGAUUCGAGUCGUGAAUUUGAUAGGUAACCCAAGUCGAUUCAAUAUGUUUUCAUCUCGAUAUUUUUUCAAAAACAUGCCGUCUUGAAUUUUUUUAAUAAAACCAUAUUUUUAACGGUUUUUCAAGUUGUUUUUUGACCCGUUAAGUUAACUAGGUCACUUCAACUUAACCUAUAUAUGUUUUAAUUUUUUUCAACUAAAAAACAUGAUAAGAACACGUAGAUAGUUUUUAACUUUUAAAAAAUUAAUCUGACCUGCAGUACAGCAAGUAGCACUACUCUAUUUAUGAAAGUAAGGGCCUAAAAGACGUGUGCAAUGCGGAUCGACUGAAAUCCACAAAUUAAUGGCAAGAGGAUCAGAAUACAUGUAUUUGGAUUAUUUUCUGCUCGAUCUCUUUCCACGAAAAUCAGGGAGAAUAGAUUAACUGACUGGCCUUCUUAAUUUCCAAAUGAUCAUGCUAUUGGCGAUUGGUGAACCUUUUUCUCCAUUGUGGAAAAAGAAAAAAAAACUAGCUAGACAAUCUGAAGCUAUUGUCUUAGGCAUUGGAAUUGAUAGAAUGAAAAGUCUUGCAGUGGACGCAUAUGCCCAUGCAUCAUCUUUGGUUUCAAAAAGACAGUAAGAAUAGUACACGUGAAAGACCAGAGGAACUUGACUUGGAACGAUUUCAUGAAAAAACCAUGCACUUCAAUCAUAAAUUUAGCAUUAUCAUUGAAGGGAAGCAUUACACGCAAACAUGGCAUCCAUUGAUUAUGAGCCAAAACUUCUUGCAAUUUUAAGCAUCUCAUUUUUCUUGUCCUGUAUUUUUGUAUCAAGUACUGGUCUUGUGGCUGCACUUGAUGAUUCAGCCUUGCUAGCAUCAGAAGUCAAGGCUUUGCUUGAGAGUGGAUGGUGGAGUCAAUACAGCAACCUCACCUCACAUCGUUGCAAGUACUGGCCUGGCAUAUUUUGUAAUAGGGCUGGAAGCAUCACUAAGAUUUACCCACCUCCAGAGUUCCUCAAGGUGGGAAAUAAGUUUGGAAAGAUGAACUUUUCUUGCUUCUCAAACCUUGUCCGUCUCCACCUGCCCAACCAUGAGCUCAAUGGAAGCAUCCCGCCUCAAAUUUCUAUCCUCCCACAACUCAGAUACCUCAACCUGUCCUCAAAUAAUCUAGCAGGUGAGUUACCGUCUUCACUUGGAAAUCUCAGCCGAUUAGUUGAGCUUGAUUUUUCUUCCAAUAAUUUCAUCAAUUCCAUCCCUCCAGAACUAAGCAAUCUUAAAAAUCUUGUUACUUUGACCUUGUCUGAUAACAGCUUCAGCGGCCCAAUCCCUUCGGCACUUUGUCAUUUGGAAAAUCUAAGGCAUUUAUUUAUGGAUCAUAAUAGUCUCGAAGGUGCCCUCCCUAGAGAAAUAGGGAACAUGAGAAAUCUAGAGAGUUUGGACGUGAGUUAUAAUACACUUAAUGGUCCAAUCCCUCGAACAUUGGGUAGGUUAGCCAAGUUGAGGUCUUUGAUCCUUUCUCGCAACGCAAUCAAUGGAUUCAUCCCUUUAGAAAUAGGAAAUUUGACGAAUCUAAAAGAUUUACAGCUUAUAUCUAAUAUCCUAGUUGGUUCAAUUCCUUCAACGAUAGGUUUUUUAUCCGAUUUGACUAAUCUAGAUCUUUCUUAUAACGUAAUCAAUGGAUCCAUCCCUUCGCAAAUAGGAAAUUUGACGAAUCUAGAACAUUUAGAUCUUUCCUCUAAUAUCCUAGCUGGUUCAAUUCCUUCUACAUUUGGUUUUUUAUCCAAUUUGAUUCUUUUGCAUCUUUUUGACAACCAAAUCAAUGGAUCCAUCUCUUUAGAAAUAGGAAAUUUGACAAAUCUAUGUCGUUUGUUUCUCAAAGGCAACAAAAUCAGUGGUUCGAUUCCUAUUUCAUUAGGAGAUUUAAGAAACUUGGCAUUUCUAGACCUAUCUAACAACCAAAUCAAUGGAUCCAUAGCUUCAUCUUUGAAGAAUUGUAAAUAUUUGACCUAUCUAGAUUUGAGCUACAAUAAUUUAAGUGGACAAAUACCCUCCCAACUACAUAAUUUGCCCUCUUUAUCUUAUGUGAAUUUUCGUUAUAAUAACCUCUCAGGCUUUGUUCCCUUGCAAUUGCCACAACCCUUUGAUGUGUCUUUCACCUGUGAUUCUCUUCAUGGGCAAAGAACCAACAGUCCUGAAAUUUUUCAAGCUACUGUAUUUGAGGGCAACAAAGAUUUACACCCUGAUUUCUCACGUUGUUCAUCUAUUUACUCCCCACCUUCAAAAGACAACAGAAUAAUUCAUUCCAUCAAAAUAUUUCUUCCUAUCACCACCAUUUCACUUUGUCUCUUGUGUCUCGGAUGUUGUUAUCUGUCUCGAUGCAAGGCUACCCAACCUGAGGCAACAUCAUUAAAGAAUGGAGACUUGUUUUCCAUAUGGAAUUAUGAUGGGAGGAUUGCAUACGAAGACAUCAUUGCAGCGACCGAGAACUUCGACCUCAGAUAUUGUAUCGGAUCCGGUGGUUAUGGGAGCGUCUACCGAGCACAACUUCCAAGUGGGAAAUUAGUUGCCUUGAAGAAACUUCAUCAUCGCGAGGCAGAGGAGCCGGCUUUUGACAAGAGUUUAAAAAAUGAGGUGGAACUGCUCACACAAAUACGUCACAGGAGCAUUGUAAAGCUUUAUGGAUUCUGUUUGCACCAGCGCUGCAUGUUUCUUGUUUACGAGUACAUGGAAAAGGGAAGCUUGUUUUGUGCCUUGAGAAAUGAUGUUGGAGCCGUGGAACUGAAGUGGAUGAAAAGAGCACACAUCAUCAAAGACAUUGCUCACGCAUUAUCUUACUUGCAUCAUGAUUGCAACCCACCAAUUGUUCAUCGAGACAUAUCAAGCAGCAAUGUUCUGUUGAAUUCAGAAUUCAAGUCUUUUGUUGCUGAUUUUGGUGUGGCUAGACUUCUCGAUCCUGAUUCGUCCAACCAUACUGUACUUGCUGGUACCUAUGGAUACAUUGCCCCAGGUAAAAAUAUUUCUUCCUAACAUGCAUAUUUACCACUCAUGCACUGCAAAACUAAAGCAAACUCUCUUUAUAUAUAUAUUAAUUUCGUUUUGUAUAUGGACAGAGCUGGCUUAUACUAUGGCGGUGACAGAGAAAUGUGAUGUUUACAGCUUCGGAGUUGUGGCGCUUGAAACUUUGAUGGGAAGGCAUCCGGGAGAUAUCCUAUCAUCAUCUGCUCAGGCUAUUACACUGAAAGAAGUGUUAGAUCCUCGUUUGCCACCUCCAACAAAUGAGAUUGUCAUACAGAAUAUAUGUACCAUUGCAAGUCUGAUAUUUUCUUGCUUACAUUCAAAUCCAAAAUAUCGACCUUCAAUGAAAUUCGUGUCUCAAGAAUUUCUAUCUCCCAAGAGAUUAUUGGGAGGUCUCGAGAUUUCUUUCUUGGAACUGCGAAAUCUUGGCAUGCACACAAAUGUAGGUGAGAUCACAGUUCCUCGCUGAAAAAGUCAACUUUGAGCUCACCUGGAACUUCAACGAGAGCCUCCAAGAGCAUGCGUUUAUAGAAUUUCUUAAUUUUGGAAUAAUUUUUUUUUCUUUUGUUUUAGUACACUACAUGUCUUUGUAAUAUUUUAGUGUGACAUUGUAUGCAAUUUUAAUAAUGCACACUUUUCUUGUGCAUGAUAGCUAGUAUCAAUAUACAUGAGCAUCAUAUUAAGUACUCUACCUCUCUGUCUAGCAGGUUAAAUUGAAAUCAUCACUCAUCUUAUAAUUAGGCAAAUCCCCACUUGAAAUAUGCAGAAGAUAUUUGUUAACUCCAUUAAUUUGUCCCUGCAAGCUCUUGUAUAAGAGAUGUCUGAAAGCAGUGUUUGGAUCUACUCUCUACAGUCUGUUCUGACUUCUGUCACUAUCUGAGCAACAUGUUUUGCUCAAUAUUUAUUAUUUGGCAGAGAUUGAAUUUUCAAUCAUCUUCCACUUCAAGAUUUAUGUCUCAUGUUUGGAACCAAGCUUUGACUUCAAAGGAUGGUGAGUUGAGAUGUCCUCCCUCCAUUGUGUAAAUUUUGGAUAUCGGCUUGCCACAAAGUCGACCACCAUAUCUAUCUAGUAAUAAUACACAACAAUAUUGUAGCUGUACAAGAUGCCUAGCUAUAGAUUAUUUUCAGUCUCAGAGACAUUUACUAACAGAGAAAAUAUAUCAUAGUACGUAUCCGAUUAUGAGCACAUGAUUUCUUCGUAUCAGCAUCUGAUUUAUAAAAGGUUGAAACCAAUUUUUAAAGUUGAACUUUACCUUGUUAUCACAUUGAUCAUCCCAUUAAUUUCCCCUUCAUGAUAUCUUUAAAUAAGAAAAAGCUUGUAUAUGCUAAAUGUUUUACAUAGUCUAAUUAGAACAAAUGAUUAUAUGACAGUUCAUAUUCUCCUGCAUGAAAGCUCUAUAUACCCAUUAUCAUGGUGACAAUUGACAAGUCGCCGAUCCAAUUCUGCAAUUAUAUUAGAAUGCAAGGAUAAUAUAUUUAUUUAGGAUUUUAUUAAUUAUCUCAUGGCUAUGUAUAUUCAAUAAUUUCCUUUAAUGAUUACAGCUCCGCAUCAGUUUCUUUCUUGUUCGAGGUUUGUCGGGCCUUCUAUUGAACCAAAACAAAAACAAACUAUUCUAACAUGUCUACGAAACAAAGCCCAAGCAGCUAUCGGCUUAAGCCUUUUUAUACCAGCGCGGGAUUUCAAAUUCGUGCAAGAAUCGUACAGGACUGGUCGGCAAGAUCACUAACAAUCCAUUUUCUGAUUUGUUAGUAAUUAUUUUUUAAAAUAUAUUGAAAUAAUAUUAUUUUAUUUUUUAAAAUUUAUUUUUGAUAUCAUCACAUCAAAAAAAUCUAAAAUUAUUAAAAAUAAAUAAAUUAAUUUAAAGCAAAAAAUAAAAAAAAUAUUUUUAAAACGCAAAAAACAAACAAUAAACUGACUCUAAAAUUACUAGAAUUUACAAGUAUUGUAAUAUUAUUAAUUUUAAUUUAUACUAUUUUUUAUUCUUAUCUUUAUUAUUUUGUAAUUAUUUUCAUUGCAUAUGAAACUUCCGGUUCCACUUCACAAGAAAUAUUAUACAAAGACUAAGAAAAUGAUGUUUUAAUAUAGCAACUACAACGUUGUUCUAUAUUUAAACAACAUUAAAAAUGAGCUGAAAAUCUUAUAUUUCUUUAUUAACGUAUAUGAACUUCACUAUAUUAUAUUAUAUGUAAGCAUUAACCUUUUGUUUCACAACAAUAUUUUUUACUCGCCGUCAAAAAACAUGUUAAUAACACCUACAUAUUAAUUCAUCUGUGUUAGAACAAAAUAAUAAUCAACUUGCAACUACGCGAAUCGAAUAGACAUGCUAAUAUUUUUUUUGUAUUUAUUGGCAGAGAUGAUUCUUGAUUUAUUUUCUUACAUGCAUGUAUAUGCCUUUUGAUUUACAGUUAGAUUUCUUUUUGUACAAAAACACAUUUGAAAAGCUUGCAUGUGUUUUUCUUCCAAAAACAUUAUUUAGCCCGGAGAGGAGUGCAUUUCAAAUAACUAGUAGUAUAAACUAAAAGAGUUGAUGAUUUUAUUGUUCAUCACCUCACAAAACACUAUUCAUUUUAAUAGUGUUUUUCCCUCCUAAAUCUAUGUUUCUUCCUAAUUUUAUACUUCAACAUUUAGUUUAUUGGAGAUUGAGCUUUAUAAUUUAUUAUGGUUUACUUUAUAUGUGGUUAGCCUAGUCUCGUAAUCUAUGUCACGGGUUUAGCAGGUUAAUUCAGUUGAUUUGAGUUUUUUUUAAUUGAUUUUUUUUCAAUCCCAUCCUUUAGCAUUGGAUUGAUUGAUAAUUAUGCUUCAUAAUUUAUUUUGGUUUGUUUUUUAUGAGGUUAUCCUGAUUUAAUGAGUCGAGUCGCGAGUUUGGUGGGUUAACCCAGUCGACUCGAUUUUUUUUUUGUCUUUUUUUAAUUGAUAUUUUUCCAAUUUUAUUUUUCAAUAUUGAGUUGAUUAUGAAUUAGGUUUCAUUAUUUAUUUUGAUUUAUUUUCUAUGAAGUUAUCUUGGUCUUAUGAUUUGGGUCACGUAUUUUGCAGGUUAACACAUAUAGACUGAGGUUGUUUUAUUGUGUCCUAUUUUUAUAUUGAAUUUUUUUUCUUCAAUUUCAACCUUUAACAAUGAGUUUAUUGAAAAUUAAGCUCAUAAUUUGUUUUGAUUUACUUUCUAUGGAUUUAUCAGGUUGACCCGAGUUGACUCAUGUUAUUUUUUUGUUUACUUUCUAUAAGGUUAUCUUAAUUUUUUGACCCGGAUCACGGGUUUGACAGUUUAACUUAUGUCAUUUUUUUUUGUUAUCUUUUAUUUAUUUUUUUAAUUUUAUCCUUUAGCAUUUGAUUGAUUUGGAAUCAGGCUUCAUAUUUUUUUUGGUCUUGCUUUUUAUAAAGUUAUCCCGGUUUCAUUACUAGGGUUACAGUUUGGCGAGUUAACAUGGGUUGACUUAAGUCUUUUUUUUAUUAUUUUUUUUAUUUCAUCAUUAAACAUUAAGAUUUCUUAUCUUGAGUCACAUGUCAACUUAGGUUUGUUUGUCCUUAUUUAUUUAUUUCAAUUUUAUUCUUUAAUAUUUGAUUGAUUUGAGAUUAAACUUCAUCUUUAUUUUUAUUUUCUAUAAGCUUAUCUUAGUCUUAUUACAUAGUUCAAGAGUUCGACUGGUUAACCUGAGUUGACUCAGUUUUUUUUAAUUAAUUUUUUUUUCAAUUUUAUCCUUCAAUAUUGGAUUAAUUGAGAAUUAAAUUUUAUAAUUUUUUUUUAUUUGGUUUAUAAGGAGUUAUCUUAGUCAUAUGACUUAGGUUAUAGCUUUAACAGGUUAACCCGAGUUAACUCGAGUUGUUUGUUUUUUGAUCUUUUUUUUUAAUUUCAUCCUUUUACAUUGAUUUAAUUGAGAAUUGAGUUUCAUAUUUGGUUUUGGUUUGCUUUCUAUGUGGUUAUUUCGGUCUUAUGUUUUGGGUCGUGAAUUUGACAGGUUUACUCGGGUAGAUCUAAUAUGUUUUCGUCUCAAUAUUUUUUAAAAAAACAUGCCAUCUUGAAUUUUUUUAGUCAAACUAUAUUUUUAACGAUUUUCCAAGUUGUCUUUGAGCCCGUUAAGUUGACCUGAUCACAUCAAAUUAACCCCUACAUGUUUUAAUUUUUUUCAACUAGAAAACACAUUAAUGGCAUCUAGAUAUUUUUUGACGUUAAAAAAAUUAAUCCGACCUGCAACAUAGUGCAGACAAUAAUCUAGUCUACUUUAUUUUUGAAAGUAAGGGCCUAAAGGGAUAUUUGAGAGUGUGGUAGUGAUUAUUUUUCAAAGUACGUUUUGCUCGGAAAUGCAUCAAAAUAAUAUAUAUAUUUUUUAAAAAAUUAUUUUUAAUAUUAACAUAUCAAACUAAUAUGAAAACACUAAAAAAAAUUAUUAAUUUGAAGUAAAAAAAAAAUAAAAAAAUUUAAUUUUUUUCAAAAUAUUUUUGAAACCAAAAAAACAUACAAACCUUAAAAGAUGUUAAAAUUCGAAUAGACUUAGAAUGAAAUCCACAAACUAAUGGCAAGAGGAUCAGAAUACAUGUAUUUGGAUUAUUUUCUACUCGAUCUUUUCCCAAGAAAGUCAGGGAGAAUAGAUUAACUGACUGGCCUUCUGAAUUUCCAAAUGAUGCUAUUGGUGAACCUUUUUCUUCUUUGUGGAAAAAGAAAAGGACUAGCUAGACAAUCUGAAGCUAUUGUCUUAGGCAUUGGAAUUGAUAGAAUUAAAAGUCUUGCAGUGAACGCAUGGACCCAUGCAUCAUCUUUGGUUUCAAAAGACAAUUGUGUUGAAAUGCUGCAUUGUUGUAAAGUUAUUCAUCAUGGCCUUGCUUCAUUUUUAUUUUGCUGAGGUAAAAAAACUUAUGUUUGGGGAGCAUCCAGAUCAAAGAUAGAAUGCUUGUUCUUUUGAGUGGCAAAUUCUUGAGACCAAUAAAAACAGAGUAGUUUGAGAAAACAAUGACUCUUGGCAUUCCAUCAACUCACAUUGCUCAAAUUGCAUUUUAUUUGAAG